rnacentral:ncRNA from 1 species
UUUAUGGAGACUUUGAAGUAUAUACUAAUUUGGGCACUUUGUAUAUACCGAGUCAGUAGUGCAACCGACAUU